rnacentral:rRNA from 1 species
GAUGAACGCUGGCGGCGUGCCUAAUACAUGCAAGUCGAGCGAACAGACGAGGAGCUUGCUCCUCUGACGUUAGCGGCGGACGGGUGAGUAACACGUGGAUAACCUACCUAUAAGACUGGGAUAACUUCGGGAAACCGGAGCUAAUACCGGAUAAUAUAUUGAACCGCAUGGUUCAAUAGUGAAAGACGGUUUUGCUGUCACUUAUAGAUGGAUCCGCGCCGCAUUAGCUAGUUGGUAAGGUAACGGCUUACCAAGGCAACGAUGCGUAGCCGACCUGAGAGGGGGAUCGGCCACACGGGAACUGAGACACGGUCCAGACUCCUACGGGAGGCAGCAGUAGGGAAUCUGCCGCAAUGGGCGAAAGCCUGACGGAGCAACGCCGCGUGAGUGAUGAAGGUCUUCGGAUCGUAAAACUCUGUUAUUAGGGAAGAACAAAUGUGUAAGUAACUAUGCACGUCUUGACGGUACCUAAUCAGAAAGCCACGGCUAACUACGUG